AUUGAACGCUGGCGGCAUGCCUUACACAUGCAAGUCGAACGGCAGCACGGGAGCAAUCCUGGUGGCGAGUGGCGAACGGGUGAGUAAUAUAUCGGAACGUGCCCAGUAGUGGGGGAUAACUGCUCGAAAGAGCAGCUAAUACCGCAUACGACCUGAGGGCGAAAGGGGGGGAUCGCAAGACCUCUCGCUAUGGGAGCGGCCGAUAUCAGAUUAGCUAGUUGGUGGGGUAAAGGCCUACCAAGGCAACGAUCUGUAGCUGGUCUGAGAGGACGACCAGCCACACUGGGACUGAGACACGGCACAGACUCCUACGGGAGGCAGCAGUGGGGAAUUUUGGACAAUGGGCGCAAGCCUGAUCCAGCAAUGCCGCGUGCAGGAAGAAGGCCUUCGGGUUGUAAACUGCUUUUGUCAGGGAAGAAAUCCUCUGGGUUAAUACCUCGGGGGGAUGACGGUACCUGAAGAAUAAGCACCGGCUAACUACGUGCCAGCAGCCGCCGUAAUAC
rnacentral:rRNA from 1 species